rnacentral:rRNA from 1 species
AACGAACGCUGGCGGUAUGCUUAACACAUGCAAGUCGAACGAGGUUUUGAGAGCUUGCUCUUAAAACCUAGUGGCAAACGGGUGAGUAACACGUGGGAAUCUACCCAUCAGUACGGAAUAACAGUUGGAAACAACUGCUAAUACCGUAUAUUCUCUUCGGAGGAAAGAUUUUAUCGCUGAUGGAUGAGCCCGCGUUAGAUUAGGUAGUUGGUAGGGUAAUGGCCUACCAAGCCGACGAUCUAUAGCUGGUCUGAGAGGAUGAUCAGCCACACUGGAACUUAGACACGGUCCAG